CUAGUUAUGUAGGGAACUAGAGAGAAAAAGAGAGAGAGAGAGGAGAGAGAGGGAGAUAGAAGAGAGGAGAGAGAGAUUUGAAACCCAUCUCACACCCUAAAUGUGGGCAGGCUUGCAGACAGAUAUCUUGGAACUACGAGGCUUUUCUUCUGGAAAAAUGUCCAACUGUAGCAGACAGAAAGGAAGCCAAGAGAGGGUGUUUACAGCAAGGAGGGGCUAUGAAAUAUCUUCACUCCAGGUUCUUUACGAGCUGCAGUGUAUCAUUUUUAUCAGUAAUUGGAAGCAUGCUGCAUGUUUGACUCUGUGGACUCCUGCUUUACACAACAGAACAUUCCGAUGGUGUGCAUGUGCCAUACCCUGCCGUAACAAAUCUCAGCUGGUCCUCUGCUGUCCUCUGGGGAGAAUGCAUUUGAACUCAUCUCAAAGAGCUGGUUUUCUACCCUGGAGGUCUCCGAUGGCUACUGCGAGAAGAAAGCCAUGUCCCGAAAGCAGUGAUACAGAUUGGCAGCCACUGCAGAGAUGCAGAAUGUCGAAGAGUGUGUGUGUUGUAAGAGAUUCUUAACCCCUCCCUAGCACCCAUAGGGGCAGUCCACAGCCUGCAGCUUGGGCGGGAGGGGGUUAAUGCGGGGCAGCUGCCUGGCAGGGACCAGCUGAAAUGGAUCAGCUAGGAACCAGCCUCCCCUCUGCAUUAACCCUCGAAGGGAUGCAGAGGCCCAGGACAGAGGCCAGCCUGCUGUGCUGCACCUCGGCCUCAUUUAUUCAUGGGAGACACACGCGCGUGUGUGCAUACACACACACACACACACAGAGAGAGUUCAUUUUACCUCCUGACCCCUUCUGCCUCUUGUCCUGAUUUGAAUGAGAAGUUAUAUUUCUAAACACAGUGCUUUCUCACUGGGCUAUUUUUGUAAUAUAGUAUGCUGAGUUGCUGCCUUAAAAUUAUAUAUAUAUAUAUGCACACAUACAUGCACACACACAACAGGCGUGCAGACCUUACAGGCUGAUGAUUCUGCCUCUUGCCAAGGGAAUUCCUGGACAGACACUGCUCUGAAAGAAAAACCCUCUGGUUUUGGAAGUCUGGUUGGGCAAGGCAGGCGGAGGUCAUGGAGGGGCCGGCGUGAUGGAAUCCUCGGUGCAGCUGACUGCGCAGCCCGACACUGGCGUGGACACUGGGAUGCGUCAUGCAACAUCCAACCAGAGCACACUCACGAGGACAAACAUGGGCCCACCUAUUUACCAUCAGAAAAACAAAAUCACGCUCUUUCACUUUGAAAGAAGGGGGAAACUGGAAAGUUAUUAUUUGAAAUAAAAUGGAAUUUUAGGAUAAUUAUUUUCUUUAAUAUCCCUUUUAUUUCCCUGUUUUUCAUUUGAAUUCUGGUCUAUCCCGCAUACAAAGAAAUUGGCAUUCUCUGCCACCAAUCAACAUUUGAGUAUUUGGCAAAGUUAUGAUUUCA
rnacentral:lncRNA from 1 species